CAGAUUUCCAUCUUUUGGAUUCAGAAUACUCUUCUCUCCUGGGUAACCAUUACCACUCUUUCAAUACAUAUGUUUUGUGUUAAAUUGAUUUUCAUGUAUAUAUAAACUACAACAAAAAUAAUUAUAGGCGGUCUUGUAGGAGUGCUGGUAUAUAUUGCUUAAAUCGGCAUUCACUGCAAGAACGCUCGGAAGUGCGAAACUAGCCAGCACUCUAAAAUUAUUUCACUUUACUAUUUGAUUAAUUUAUCACUUGUUUCUAAGUUUACCAAUCUCAUCCGACAUUACAAACUUCAAGCCCUAGGUUUCUCUUCAGCCUCCCCAAUCGCCUCCAUCUCUAUUCUCGUUCUCACCUCUGAACUUGCCCUCUCUCUGUCUCUACAACUGCAAACUACAAAAUCUACAAACUUCAAGCCAUAGGUUUCUCUUCAGCCUCCCCAAUCGCCUACAUCUCUAUUCUCGUUCUCAACUCUGAACUUGCCCUCUCUCUGUCUCUGCAACUGCAAACUACAAAAUCUACAAGAAUCAAAAGUUCAAAACCCAUACACUUUAAUUUAUCUAUCUGUCUGCUAGAAUCAAAGUUCAAAACCUAUUACCUAUAUCAAAACCCAUAUUGGCACAUCAUUUUAGAUUGUUCAAAAAAUCAAAAUCCAUAUUGGCAUAUCAUUUCAGAUUGUUCAAAAAAUCAAAACCCAUAUCUUUCAGUUUCCAUCGCCCGCUGUUCCAGUUCGGGUUCACCAUUGGCAAGCUUUAGCCGCUGGCCCGCUGUCUCUCAACUCUCAAGCUUGCCCCCUCUCUCUCUGCAACUGCUAACUUGUAUGUAUGGGUUUUGUUUUUAUUUUUUUUUUCAACUCCUUUUCAUCGUUAAAUAACCUCCCGAUUUCUUGUUUCUCUCCCCUCUCUAAAGUUGUGGGAUUCACCGGAAAUGCAACUGAUCGAUACACGGCGCGCGAACAUAUACAUACAUAUAUUAUAUAUAUAUACAUAUACACACAUGUCUAUCUCAUUUUCAGGGAGAUUACUUCCAUUAUGAAGCUUCUUAAGGAGGACGAGGACGAACUAUGCAUUUUGGGGCGGAUGUGGAGGCGUUCACUGCUGCUUUAAACAGGGACAUUGAGGGCCACACCUCCACUUCUCAACCCUCUGAUUCAGGUGGUGGCUCUCUCAAAAGCUUUAAAAGAGGAUGAGUUGGUUUAUCUUAGAGCUCAGUUUAUGCUUUUGGAACCUAACAAAGAUGGAUAUGUCUCGCUUGAUAAUUUCAAAAUGGUUAUUUACUUCCCUUUCUUUCUAUUUGAUCCUUAAAUUGAAGUUGAUUAUGAUUUCAGGGAAUUAUUGUUCUAAUUAUGGAGAUGACAUGGUCAUGUGAUAAAAGAAAUUAUGUUCUGUGUUAGCCAGUCUUCUUAUCCUCAUUCCUUCCUAUAAAGUCAAAUUUAUGGUCAAACGAGAACUGAAAACAAAUUUGCAGGCUCUUGUGCGAAAUGCAACUGAUGCAAUGAAGGAGUCAAGGAUUCCUGAUAUUCUCAAUGUGGGUCACAAGAGAUGUGUUUUAGGCACCACCUACUGAGCAAUUUGAUUACCCCUUUAUAUUAACAUUUUUCAAGUCAUGGAAAGGAAGUGGCGGAUGACAAUCCACCACUAGCAUGAAGGGAUAAGAAGGGUGUUUUGUAACCUUUUGUAUUUAGAGCCCAUUCUUUUGUAAAGUGUCAUUUUGCAAUGUAUUUAAGCUGUAUAGCAUGGUCUUGUAAUGUAACUAUGAGCCUUGAUACUAUUUUAAUGUAAUUGGGCUAAAUGUAUAGACUAUGUUGUAUUUCUUACUUGAAUGGGAUGAAAGAAGUUGAUUUGUAUCCAAAUGUUGAUGUUUAUAACCAUGGCAU